rnacentral:rRNA from 1 species
GGGUAACCUGCCUCAUAGAGGGGGAUAGCCUCCCGAAAGGGAGAUUAAUACCGCAUAACAUCAUGUUUUCGCAUGGAAGUGUGAUCAAAGGAGCAAUCCGCUAUGAGAUGGACCCGCGGCGCAUUAGCUAGUUGGUGAGGUAAAGGCUCACCAAGGCGACGAUGCGUAGCCGACCUGAGAGGGUGAUCGGCCACAUUGGAACUGAGACACGGUCCAGACUCCUACGGGAGGCAGCAGUGGGGAAUAUUGCACAAUGGGCGAAAGCCUGAUGCAGCAACGCCGCGUGAGUGAUGAAGGCCUUCGGGUUGUAAAGCUCUGUCUUUUGGGACGAUAAUGACGGUACCAAAGGAGGAAGCCACGGCUAACUACGUGCCAGCAGCCGCGGUAAUACGUAGGUGGCAAGCGUUGUCCGGAUUUACUGGGCGUAAAGGAUGCGUAGGUGGAUAUUUAAGUGGGAUGUGAAAUACCC